CUAAAUACUCCCUAGUGACCGAUAGUGAACCAGUACCGUGAGGGAAAGGUGAAAAGCACCCCGGAAGGGGAGUGAAACAGUUCCUGAAACCGUGUGCCUACAAUUAGUCAAAGCCCGUUAACGGGUAAUGGCGUGCCUUUUGUAGAAUGAACCGGCGAGUUACGUUUGCCUGCGAGGUUAAGAUGAAAAGUCGGAGCCGGAGCGAAAGCGAGUCUGAACAGGGCGCUUCAGUAGGUAGAUGUAGACCCGAAACCAAGUGACCUACCCAUGACCAGGUUGAAGGUGUGGUGAAACACACUGGAGGACCGAACCCAUGUAUGUUGAAAAAUGCUGGGAUGAGUUGUGGGUAGCGGUGAAAUUCCAAACGAACUUGGAGAUAGCUGGUUCUCUCCGAAAUAGCUUUAGGGUUAGCCUCGGAGGAUGGAUCAUGGAGGUAGAGCACUGUUUGAACUAGGGGCCCGUCAAGGGUUACUGAAUUCAGAUAAACUCCGAAUACCAUUGAUCUUACUCCGGGAGUCAGACAGUGAGCGAUAAGGUCCAUUGUCGAAAGGGGAACAGCCCAGAUCACCAGUUAAGGUCCCUAAAUUUAUGCUAAGUGGAAAAGGAUGUGGCGUUGCACAGACAACUAGGAUGUUGGCUCAGAAGCAGCCACCAUUUAAAGAGUGCGUAAUAGCUCACUAGUCGAGUGGCACUGCGCCGAAAAUAUACCGGGGCUAAGCAUAAUACCGAAACUGUGGGUGCACCCGUCAGGGUGCGCGGUAGGAGAGCGUUCUAAGGGCGUUGAAGGUCGAUCGUGAGGACGGCUGGAGCGCUUAGAAGUGAGAAUGCCGGCAUGAGUAGCGAAAGAUCAGUGAGAAUCUGAUCCACCGUAUGACUAAGGUUUCCUGGGGAAGGCUCGUCCUCCCAGGGUUAGUCGGGAUCUAAGGCGAGGCCGCAAGGCGUAGUCGAUGACAAGCAGGUUGAGAUUCCUGCACUAGUUUAUUUUGUUUAAGCGAUGGAGGGACGCAGGAGGCUAAGGAAAGCGCACGGCUGGAAAAGUGCGUCCAAGCAGUAAGUCCGGUAGCGAGUGAAAUGCUUGCCGCCUUAAGGACAAGCUGUGAUGGGGAGCGAAAUUAAAGUAGCGAAGUUCCUGAUGUCACACUGCCAAGAAAAGCUUCUAGUGAGAAAUAAACUACCCGUACCGCAAACCGACACAGGUAGUCGAGGAGAGUAUCCUCAGGUGAGCGAGCGAACUCUCGUUAAGGAACUCGGCAAAAUGACCCCGUAACUUCGGAAGAAGGGGUGCUGACCGCAAGGUCAGCCGCAGUGAAUAGGCCCAAACAACUGUUUAUCAAAAACACAGGUCUCUGCUAAAUCGUAAGAUGAUGUAUAGGGGCUGACGCCUGCCCGGUGCUGGAAGGUUAAGAGGAUGAGUUAGCGCAAGCGAAGCCCAGAAUUGAAGCCCCAGUAAACGGCGGCCGUAACUAUAACGGUCCUAAGGUAGCGAAAUUCCUUGUCGGGUAAGUUCCGACCCGCACGAAAGGCGUAAUGAUUUGGGCACUGUCUCAACGAGAGACUCGGUGAAAUUAUAGUACCCGUGAAGAUGCGGGUUACCCGCGACAGGACGGAAAGACCCCAUGGAGCUUUACUGUAGCUUGAUAUUGAGUGUUGGUACCGCUUGUACAGGAUAGGUAGGAGCCGUAGAGAUCGGAACGCUAGUUUCGAUGGAGGCAUUGGUGGGAUACUACCCUAGCUGUAUGAACACUCUAACCCGCGCCACUAAUCGUGGCGGGAGACAGUGUCAGGUAGGCAGUUUGACUGGGGCGGUCGCCUCCUAAAAUGUAACGGAGGCGCCCAAAGGUUCCCUCAGAAUGGUUGGAAAUCAUUCGCAGAGUGUAAAGGUAGAAGGGAGCUUGACUGCGAGACUGACAAGUCGAGCAGGGACGAAAGUCGGGCUUAGUGAUCCGGUGGUUCCGUAUGGAAGGGCCAUCGCUCAACGGAUAAAAGCUACCCUGGGGAUAACAGGCUUAUCUCCCCCAAGAGUCCACAUCGACGGGGAGGUUUGGCACCUCGAUGUCGGCUCAUCGCAUCCUGGGGCUGUAGUCGGUCCCAAGGGUUGGGCUGUUCGCCCAUUAAAGCGGUACGCGAGCUGGGUUCAGAACGUCGUGAGACAGUUCGGUCCCUAUCCGUCGCGGGCGCAGGAAAUUUGAGAGGAGCUGUCCUUAGUACGAGAGGACCGGGAUGGACGUUCCGCUGGUGUACCAGUUGUGCCGCCAGGCGCAUCGCUGGGUAGCUAUGAACGGAAGGGAUAAACGCUGAAAGCAUCUAAGUGUGAAGCCCCCCUCGAGAUGAGAUUUCCCAUUCCUAUAUGGAAGUAAGACCCCUGAAAGAUGAUCAGGUAGAUAGGCUGGAAGUGGAAGUGCAGCGAUGCAUGGAGCGGACCAGUACUAAUCGGUCGAGGACUUAACCAA
rnacentral:rRNA from 1 species